rnacentral:lncRNA from 1 species
GACCCCAGAGGAUCCAGCUUCACAAUCACAACACAUCGCACAGCGACCAACCGAGAGAAAGACCACCCUGCUGCUCUCCACGACCAUGCCGGGCGUCACAGAGCGCGCGCGGCGCGACGACGCCGUUCGCCAGACGACGAACCCUGACACCCCCCUGCACCUCUUCCCACCCUGGUACUGGUAGGUAUACAUACGGUACGUCAUACGAGACGAGGCGGCGGAGCGGGGGGGUCAGGGAGGCGGGGGCCGUUCAGGCCCGGGCGUAGGAGCGGGCGAGGUGCGCGGCGCGGAGGUCGGCGGGGUCGACGGCGGCGGCCCAGUUGGCGGGGCGGUAGUGGCCCGUGACGGGGUCGGGCACCCACGAGAUCUCGGAGCUGGCAGCGGCGCGCCCGCCGGCCUCCCUGGCCUCGCCCGCACCAGCCGCGCCCUCCGCCGCGGCCGCCGCGCGCCUCAUGGCCCCGGACGCCGCCGACGCCGCGUAGCCCCUGAUGCUGGCUGCCCUGGGUGCCAGCGACGCGAGCACGGCGCGCGCGGAGGAGAGAGCGACGAGAGCCAUCGGACCAGCUGCUGGCCUUUCUGCUGCUUGGGCAGGCAAGCAAAAGGAUCGGACGGCUGGCUGUGGCUGGCUGGUGGCGCUCUGCUGCUCUCUCCCGUGCUCUGCUUUGCGGCUGCU